GGCGAACGGGUGAGUAAUACAUCGGAACGUGCCCAGUCGUGGGGGAUAACGCAGCGAAAGCUGUGCUAAUACCGCAUACGAUCUACGGAUGAAAGCGGGGGACCGUAAGGCCUCGCGCGAUUGGAGCGGCCGAUGGCAGAUUAGGUAGUUGGUGGGGUAAAGGCCUACCAAACCUGCGAUCUGUAGCUGGUCUGAGAGGACGACCAGCCACACUGGGACUGAGACACGGCCCAGACUCCUACGGGAGGCAGCAGUGGGGAAUUUUGGACAAUGGGCGCAAGCCUGAUCCAGCCAUUCCGCGUGCAGGAUGAAGGCCCUCGGGUUGUAAACUGCUUUUGUACGGAACGAAACGGCUCUCUCUAAUACAGGGGGCUAAUGACGGUACCGUAAGAAUAAGCACCGGCUAACUACGUGCCAGCAGCCGCGG
rnacentral:rRNA from 1 species